ACAGCAUUGUGAUGUCUUUUUACGCAUUUCCAUUGAAGAAUAGCUGUAAGGGACCAUAUAUAGCAAGUGGUCACAUGGUGUCUCCCGCAGAAAAUCUUGCAUAAAACACUGAGGUAGCCAUUCUUCCAAUCGCUUCUUAUGAGAAACCAAUUGCCUCGACGGAUAUAUUAUCGAAUAUAUAUGUUAAAAACACCUUGAGGAUGGAUCCUAAACAACGUUUGCCGUGUUUCUGUCGAUUUUAUGGAGCAAAUUUUGAAAAAAGUUUGGAGUUAUAGUUGUAGCAUUUUCCGGUCGAUUUCUCAGCCAAGCAUGAUGAACAAACGGAAGCUAUUUCACCUACAAAAAUAAUAUUUUUGGAAAAAAGGAACAUUUGCUAUCUAAUUGGGAGUCUUCUGAGUGAAAGCAUCUGAAGUUCUUCAAAGACGAGCGUUACAGAAUCACCCACUACCAAAGGACCAAGCAGCGUAGUGACGGGCAGCAGCAGCAAUCUCCAGGCUCCUGGGCAUGGGAGGAGAUCUUGGAUGGCAAGGGACCCUGGAUACAGCUGGGAGAAUAUCGCCACCCCAAGCCAGAGCUGGAGGCAGCGAAAGCCGAGAGGCGGUGGUAUGAGGAGGCAGCACGGCAGCGCGGCUGGGACGAGAGGCAGCCCCAAAAAUUUAUUGAGGGGGGGCAGACAGGGAGUGUGGCUAAGUCAGGUAGGAGACCUGUGCCAACUCCCCGUGCUUACCGUGGAGAGAGGUGUACCUGGCAGGCACCGUGUUAUGCCAUGAGGCGCACAGUGUCCCCGGUGCGCAGGCGUAGCCCAGUGCAUUACAUAGCAGCGCCUCGUAUCGGCUUGGCUAGAGUGGGCACCAAGCCAGGUUCCAUGAAUCCGGCUUAGCGCAUCUGGUCUCCAGUGCGUCUCCUCGGGCCAGGGUACAUGGCACCAGCCCUGCUCAUGAUGUCCCCGGUUCGCCAGCACAGCCCAGUGCGUUCGAUUCCACCUCGCCGCACUGGCCUGGCUACGGGGAGCCUCCAGCCAGGUAGGGUUGGGCAGGCUCGGUGCUCGAGACCUCAAGUGCGCCUCCACGGUCCGGUCUAUCCGGUGCCUCCUCCACACACCAGGCCUCCGGUGGCAGCCCCCCUCACCAGGCUGUCUCUCCGUCUCCUCCCGCCUGUCCAGAGCUGCCAGAGUCUCCCAUCUGUCCUGAGCUGCCAGAGUCUCCCGUCUGUCCUGAGCUGCCAGAGUCUCCCGUCUGUCCUGAGCUGCAGAGUCUCCCGUCUGUCCUGAGCUGCCAGAGUCUCCCGUCAGUCCUGAGCUGUCAGAGUCUCCCGUCUGUCCUGAGCUGCCAGAGUCGCCCGUCUGUCCUGAGCUGUCAGAGUCGCCUAUCUGUCCUGAGCUGCCAGAGUCGCCCAUCUGUCCUGAG
ensembl:lncRNA